GACGUAGGGCGCAAGCGUUGUCCGGAUUUAUUGGGCGUAAAGAGCUCGUAGGCGGCUUGUUGCGUCGGCUGUGAAAACCUGCAGCUUAACUGUGGGCUUGCGGUCGAUACGGGCAUCACUGGAGUUCGGCAGGGGAGACUGGAAUUCCUGGUGUAGCGGUGAAAUGCGCAGAUAUCAGGAGGAACACCAACGGCGAAGGCAGCUCGCUGGGACGGUACUGACGCUGAGACGCGAAAGCGUGGGGAGCGAACAGG
rnacentral:rRNA from 1 species